ACUAACGUUGAAACACCGUGUCUUGUACGAUCACCAAACUUAAGCAACGUCGAGAUUGGUCAGUACUUAGCUGAGUGACCGCUCGGGAAUCCCAGGUGCUGA